rnacentral:rRNA from 1 species
UACGUAGGGUGCAAGCGUUAAUCGGAAUUACUGGGCGUAAAGCGUGCGCAGGCGGUUUUGUAAGUCUGUUGUGAAAUCCCCGGGCUCAACCUGUGAAUUGCGAUGGAGACUGCAAGGCUAGAAUCUGGCAGAGGGGGGUAGAAUUCCACGUGUAGCAGUGAAAUGCGUAGAGAUGUGGAGGAACACCGAUGGCGAAGGCAGCCCCCUGGGUCAAGAUUGACGCUCAUGCACGAAAGCGUGGGGAGCAAACAGG